rnacentral:rRNA from 1 species
GAUGAACGCUGGCGGCGUGCUUAACACAUGCAAGUCGAACGAUGAAGCUCAGCUUGCUGGGUGGAUUAGUGGCGAACGGGUGAGUAACACGUGAGUAACCUGCCCUUAACUCUGGGAUAAGCCUGGGAAACUAGGUCUAAUACCGGAUAGGAGCGUCCACCGCAUGGUGGGUGUUGGAAAGAUUUAUCGGUUUUGGAUGGACUCGCGGCCUAUCAGCUUGUUGGUGAGGUAAUGGCUCACCAAGGCGACGACGGGUAGCCGGCCUGAGAGGGUGAACGGCCACACUGGGACUGAGACACGGCCCAGACUCCUACGGGAGGCAGCAGUGGGGAAUAUUGCACAAUGGGCGAAAGCCUGAUGCAGCGACGCCGCGUGAGGGAUGACGGCCUUCGGGUUGUAAACCUCUUUCAGUAGGGAAGAAGCGAAAGUGACGGUACCUGCAGAAGAAGCACCGGCUAACUACGUG